ensembl:lncRNA
UGGGAGAGCCUCUCUUUGCUUUGUACUCUCCUGAUCCCACUCCCUGCUCUCAGAGUCCCCUGAAAGCUUCCUGGAGACUGCAUACCAACAACCAUUUCUCCUUCUCCCUGCUCCCUACUCCUUGCUCUGGAAGAAUGUUACUCAUUAUAGCUUUUUUGUUGAUCAAAAACCAAAGAACCACAUUUUCUUCAGUCUUUGUCUUUCCUCUCUUCUUCCCAAAUUCUGCUUUAUACUAAGCCCACUCUUCUAUCAUCAUGUACUUUGUAAAAUUAAACCAGAUUUCAUCUUACCCCUUUGGUAAGGAGAAGUGACUAAGGUGACCAAGGUGGUGUCAAAUUAGCUUCACACAUGGAGUCUUUGAAGAGAUGUGGCAACUCUUUUUGUAGAUGGAGGUCUUUAAGGUCAAUUUCCUGCACUAUGCUUGCUCUUGGUCAGAGUCCUUCAAAGGACUAGGCAGGGAGCUAGAUACGAGUGGGACCUCUCAGGAUCUCACCACCUUAUGGUGCCAUUUGAGAACUACUGACCUUGAGAAUAGUUUAUUCUGUUCAGAGGCUAUGGAGGAAAAGCAGCAGAUCUUUCUUAGAUUUGAAAAUGAUGAAGUUUCUAUGAGCCAUGAGGCUGCAUGGAAAGGGCCCAGAUUUUCUCAAAGAAUGAUGGUCAGAUUAUAUUAGGCACCUAGAUCCUCCUUCCUCCCUUUCCCCUCCCCUAGGUAUAAUUUCCUGCCCCUUCUUUGGCUAUGGGAAUCUUGAUGUGAAACACUCCAUAAACUAUUGGGCCCAAUUAUUUUUAGCUAAGAUUGGUCCUUCAUUCUUUCAAUGUGCCUAGGUCAUCUGUGAUUAAAUUGAUGAGUAUUUGCUGCCAGUGGAGUCAAGGCUUUUCUAGAGCCCUGACUGGUAAAGUUCCAUUCGAGAUUGAGGAAAUUCCUCCACCCUAAACCACCCAAGGAUUGUGUGAGCUGCUCCUUCCCCCUGCUUUUCCCACCCUUUUCCCCCUUUGCUGUCACUAAAGAACUCUAAUCUCUUGUAUCUGUAUCUUCAGGCCCCUGUGGGACUUUUGGGAAUGAAUAUUAAGGUUUCAUUGAGUUCCAAACAUCUCCAGGAGGUGAAACGUAAGUGAAAGGAACUUCUACUAAGUGUGAAUAUGAUUGACAUCCAGGUUACAGGCUUUCUUCUGUGUAAACACAAGACAAAAUUCAGAGGACGUCAAGUAGACAUAGCUUAUCCUGUGGGGCUGAGGAAAGGCAGAGAAGAGAUAAUUUUUCUGAGUGUGCUCCCUACCUUAACCUCUCACCCUUAGGAAAUAUCAGAGGGAAUGAGGUCUUGAGGUGUUGCAGGGGAAGAGAUUUGAAAGUGAAUUUUUAAAAACACUUCCUUGAAGGCCAAGGUAUAUGCACUGGGUACAUGAAAGCCCAGGCUUUUAGCUUUUAAAGUAAAAAUUCUGUUUAGGCAAGUUUCUGGUUUUGCCAAUAAUAUCCCUCACCAUCUCUCUCACCCCAUAUGCCUCCCUUCCUUCUGCAAAGAAGGAAUUCCUUAAACCCUUCAGCAUUGUCCUCCUAUACCAUCAGAUACUCAGGUAAAAUCCAGUGUUAACCCAGCUGCUAAUUCGAAUGGGCUAAUUUCAGGUGGCAUAAAGGUGGGUAUGUGGGUGUGCUUGGAUAUGCAAGGGUGUGUGUGUAUUAUCAAUAAUGGGAAGGACAUUCUUGUAAGCUGAUAUUCUGAGGAGUACUAUCUACUGUCUGUUGAGUGUUGAUCACCUGUUAAAAGAGUGUGGGGAGCAAGACAGAAUUCUUGGUUUGGGUUUCCAGAUGAGGAGCAGCCAUCCUUUGAUGGGGAGCAGCCAUGUAGUCCAUUCACUGUUAUUGUUGUCUCUACCCUUCCUUCCACCCCGACUUCUUCAGGUAUGAUUAACUUGGCUACUGUGUAGUACAGGUGUGGAUACCAUUGCAUGGAUUAAUGAAUUCUUGUUGACUUUUGGGGGUUGACUCUUGUCAGACUUUGUACCAGAUUACCUUUUUGGUUAAAUCUUAUCAGGGGCAAAGAGAGAGUAGUGGAUGGAUAGGAGCUCAUAACGGAUGGGACUAGCAAGAGUAGGAAAAGGUAUGGUCUCGCUGUAGUAUCUAGGAAUGAAUACACUGGCCUCUCAUGAAGGCACUGUUUCUCUGGUUUCUUGAGUGACUAUUAUAUGUAAUUCAAAACACCUGAUAGGAGAAAGAUCCGUCCUCUUGGUAUUCUCUGGAGAGUUUUUAUGUCCUCUUGUUUUUUGAGGAUCAAGAAGUUUUGCCCAGGAAAAAAUGGGGACAUACAAAUGAUCUUGUAAUAACUAGAUGGAUCUUCAGUGCUGCUGUUACUGUUAAUGUAUGGUACAUGGGAGUGGAAAGUAAAAGGAUGGUAGUAAAAAAAACAAUCUGACAUUCUAACAUGUUCACAUGUUCACUUGUCACCGUGUAGAGCUGAUAAAACAUGGAUCAAGGGAGAGGGAUCAGAGUAGUCAAAUGGGUGGCUCCCAUGCAGGGAGGAUAAAAUUUUGAUAAUCUAGAGGAAAGCUAGUUAGUUCCUUUUACCUUACCUGGUAGUUCAUUGAACCCUAGAAAUGUUGUACUAGAACUCUAUUUUGAUGAGUCUUAUCACAUGAAUUUAAAUGAUAAAUGAUGCCCCCAUCCCUGACUUUCCACAUUGUAGGUGUUUCUUACUAUGUGCCUUGACAGUCCACCAGAAUUCCAGAUGGCCAGUUAGACUGGACAGAGUGGCAUCCCAAUAGUAUGAUAAGAUGUCACUCUCUCCUCCUACCCUCAAUAGGAUGGGCUUUGUGGUGUCUGAUAACAUCCUGUCAUGGGAACAGCUACAGGUCUUUCUGUGUGUGUGUAUGUGUGUGUGUGUGUGUGUGUGUGUGUGUGUGUGUGUAGUGUGUUUAUGUCUUUAUGCAGUUUAGCUUCCAGAAGGCUCUGCUAUGUGAUAAAGAGGGGGACCAGUAUUCCCUGUUCUUCACUGCCUUCCCCAAUUCCCACCCAGCUCAUGAGUAACAACACAACCUUCCUUUCCACAGAGAACUCUGAAUAUGUUGUCUAAAGCCUCCUGUUGAGGGUAAGAGCAGGAUCCUAUAUUUGGUUGAAUUGAGGAGGGGAGGGGAUGACAACUAAGGUUGGAUGUGAGCUCAGGGUGAGAAAGUCAGGAAGUUGUCAUCUCAGUAAGAAACAUAGCAAUUUCCAGGAGACUUGUCUGGUUGAUUUUGUUUUUUAAAUGCUUUGCCAAACUGGCACUGGUGACAGGAAGUAUUUUUCUAGUCUCCAGCCAAGGCCCCUUCUUUUGGAAGGUGUGUGUGUGUGUGUGUGUGUGUGUGUGUGUGUGUGUGUGUUUGUGCACACCUGUCUGUCAGUGAUGGUCCAAAAGAGAAUUGUAAAUAAAUCAUGAUGUUUUUACAUAGCCUUUCUCCAUAGUCACCAAACAGCCCCUGCUUCCUCCCCUUUCCUCUUCUACUCCCCAAUAUUUUCCUCUGGUUUCCCUAGGCCCCCAUGGCCCUUAUAAUGUUCAUACACAGCAGCUGAGCCUUACUGCCUGGUUCUGAACUGGGCAUCUUGAAAGAUUGUAGCAAGUGUCUCGUGCCCCAAUGGGAGACGGGCAGAUCACAAACCUCCUUGCAGUAUUCACUGUGGGUAAUUUAUUUAACUAGUGAAUGUAGAUUAAAGUAAUUAAAACGAAGAGAAACUAAUGCUUUGUCUGCGGGAUCAUGUGUCCUCCUUGUAUCCUAACCUGAUUUUUAAUUUGUCGUCUUGUUCUUUUGAGGCUCUCCUCUGAGGGCCUAGUAGAGAGCCAGUGGCAUGGGGGAAGGGAUCAGGGACAGUGCUGUCAGAGUGGAUACAGGGGGAGAAGAACUGAUCGAGGAAACUCUGGAGGUCUUAAGUCCAGAUGGAAGGGCAGAGUGGAUCUUUAGGAGGCCUAUUUUAGUACUGGACUCCAGUGACUUCAGAAGUAGGGGAGGAAGCUUGGGGCUGGGGUUUUAUUAGGGGCUCAGCCAUCCAUCUCUUCCCCCUCCCUUCCCUCCUUCUCCCUCCUUUCUUCUCCCCAUUUCCCUUCUUCCCCUUCCACAAGCACUACAUCCUUUGAUUCACUUAAAAUGAGAAAUUUACAGAAAUAAUAAUUUUUAAACAAAGCAAGAGAAGUGUUUUUAACGCUGUUGGGAAUGAUUCAUUAUGUUACUUUUGUGGUCUGCGUUCUGUUUG